rnacentral:rRNA from 1 species
UACGUAGGGGGCUAGCGUUGUCCGGAAUCAUUGGGCGUAAAGCGCGUGUAGGCGGUCCGGUAAGUCCGCUGUGAAAGUCGAGGGCUCAACCCUCGAAUGCCGGUGGAUACUGUCGGGCUAGAGUACGGAAGAGGCGAGUGGAAUUCCUGGUGUAGCGGUGAAAUGCGCAGAUAUCAGGAGGAACACCGAUGGCGAAGGCAGCUCGCUGGGACGGUACUGACGCUGAGACGCGAAAGCCAGGGGAGCGAACGGG